GUUUGUGCGACGCAGCUAACGCAUUAAGCGCCCCGCCUGGUGAGUACGAUCGCAAGACUAAACUCAAAGGAAUUGACGGGGCCCCGCACAAGCAGCGGAGCAUGCGGCUUAAUUCGACGCAACGCGAAGAACCUUACCAAGGCUUGACAUAUACAGGAAUACGGCAGAGAUGUCGUAGCCGCAAGGUCUGUAUACAGGUGGUGCAUGGUUGUCGUCAGCUCGUGUCGUGAGAUGUUGGGUUAAGUCCCGCAACGAGCGCAACCCUCGUUCUGUGUUGCCAGCAUUUAGUUGGGGACUCACAGGAGACUGCCGGGGUUAACUCGGAGGAAGGUGGGGAUGACGUCAAAUCAUCAUGCCCCUUAUGUCUUGGGCUGCACGCAUGCUACAAUGGCCGGUACAAACGGCUGCAAUACCGCAAGGUGGAGCGAAUCCGAGAAAGCCAGUCUCAGUUCGGAUUGGGGUCUGCAACUCGACCCCAUGAAGUCGGAGUUGCUAGUAAUCGUAGAUCAGCAACGCUACGGUGAAUACGUUCCCGGGGCUUGUACACACCGCCCGUCACAUCACGAAAUCGGUAACACCCAAAGUCAGUGGCCCAACCGCAAGGAGGGAGCUGCCAAAG
rnacentral:rRNA from 1 species